ensembl:lncRNA
AAGGGCUGUACAACAGCAGUCUGACCAUUCUGAGUGUCUGUCAUAACUAUGUAUUUGCAGGGGGGUUGAAGAUAAUGGAAUGGUGUAUACAGAUACCCAAUUUAUGGCAGGUGCACACAAAGGAGGAUGGAAUAAAUUACUGAAUUCACUAAAUUUGAGCCUCUGUGGAGUUAAAUUUCUGUUGUUCUGAUGCCUACUACACAUUCUGUCACCCUUUUCAGUGCUUAACUUAAAGGGUGCAGAAGAUAGACUGCUGUUAGGUUUUGUGAAUGCUGGAACAAGUACUUCACGGAACUAAUACUUCUCUGGAGGGUGGGGUGGCUUUCUAGCACAGUGCAACUCCAUCAGCAAACUCAGUCCUGGAGCAGGGGGAAGCAACAGCAGUUGUUGCACUGGUGCAACAGGAUUUGAAGAUUCUUUGUAUAAACCACAGUAACGGGAUGUUUUGAACAGGACCCGUUCGUUCUGCACUUAACUCUGAUUCAGACGUAAUGCAUCCUUGCCUUCCUUGGGUUUUCGUUGCGUAACAGAAUAGCAUGUGCAUUCCUGAAACAAUUGGUGGAAUUCUGCAGCACAUCUCUCCGUCAUGAGCGUACCUGCCGGCCCCAUCUGAAACAAAAAUGAGAAGAAACUACAGUAAUAGAAGAAAAGCAGUUAGAAUUGUUGUCUGGAUCCUACACAUUUUUUCAAUGGCUGGGUUGGUUUUAUUGCUGUGUGCAAAACUACGAUUCUUAUCCAUCCUUUCCUUCAUUUACUUUUUAGCCUGCUUACCAUUUUUCAGGUAAGGGAUAUCCUGUAUCCCUGUUGUGGGAGAAACAGCCAAAACUGGGGAGGCUGGAGAGAGCAAAAGCCUUUGGGAAACAAAUUAAGUGAUAUUUAAAAUUUCCUCUAUUCAUGCUUCUUUGUAAAUACCCCCAUUUGAAUGCUGUGUAUUUGUACAGGAAAUUGAGCAAAAAAUGUAUAGAUUGUGACGUCCGACUGGUAUUCUGCCCUGUAAAUGUGUUUUUAACCUCUGGCAUUCUGUGCUUAUUUAAAAAAGGCAAAAACCUCUAACCACUUCUCUUUUGUGUAUUCAUGUUUAAAAUAAAAUCAGAACAGCUAUCUUAUCUAUAAUGGAAAUCAAAUUGAAAAGGAAAAAAAUAAUUUGUACAAGUGUCCUAAAGGUACUUCAUUGUAUAUAUUGUGAUAGCAUGUUUCCAGAAUCAACAAAUAAGUGGUGUGAAUUUUAGAUGUAAAUAUCUGCUGUUUGUUUUGGGUUUCUUUCCCUUACCCAUUCACUCGACUGCUGUGAUGUGAAAUUAAAGAUUAAUACCUGAUAUU